UAUUCUGUGGGGUUCCUCAGGGGUCCAUCUUUGGACCCUUACUAUUUCUUAUAUAUAUAUAAAAAUUAUUUAUUGAAUGUUUCAAGUAUUCUUACUCCAAUAAUGUUUGCAGAUGAUACAACCUUAAUUUUCUCUCACUCAUUUUUUAAUUUAUUGAUUAAAAGUGUAAAUGAUAGUCUAAUUGCUUAUGGUAAUUGGUUUAAUUUAAAUAAAUUAUGUCUAGAUUUAAAAAAAAUCUAACUUCAUUAUUUUUAGUGGAAAAAAAUUACACCCUAAGGACUUAGCAAAAAUUACAAUUGAGUCUAUUGAGUUGCCUCAAGUGUCAACUGUAAAAUUCUUUGGAGUUUACGUUGAUGAGACUUUGAGUUGGAGGGAACAAGCUGAUUACAAAUGAAAGACUGCAACAUGGAGGUGGGAGGACAGGUAUGUUCUCCCCACACGAAGAGACCCUAAUUGUUGAUAUGCGCUGUGAGAACAAUGCCAUUAAACUGAGUAAAAUUCAACAGAAGAUCAUUGAGGACCAUGUAAAUGUUGAGGGUAUCAACAGUGUCAGCCUCUCUGCUGUUGAUCGUGUCCUCAAGCGCAACAGACUGCGCAUGAAACAGCUAUACAGAGUGCCCUUUGAUUGCAACUCAGACAGAGUCAAAUAGCAAAGAUUCCAGUAUCUACAGGUUGGCAUAUAUCCAGACACAUUCAAUGUUGAUUCAAAGUAGUGAUUUACUGUAGUGGACUAAAUCACUUUUUCCGUAACACUCACAAAACUAAGAGGGUUCUUCAACUGGAUGCAAUGGAAAGACCCCAUGAAUACGUGUACAUGUAUGAAGCUGGGUUUAAUCUCUCCCAAAAGGAGAAGGAGAGGCCGUAAUGUGAUUGGCCAUUGGAAACAAGCACAAAGAAACAAAGAAAGAAGAAAUAGCAUCAGACGGCGAAGAGUGCAGGUCAGAUUCUGCUUUUAACUUUGGUUCACAGGAACAAUUAAGUGUUGUGUACAGUGCAGAAGACAUUAAGGCAUUUUGAAAAACCACAAAAUUGCAAAGGAAAUGUUGCAAUCGAGGAGUUUUUCCCCCGACAGAAAAUGUUUAUUUAUGAUGUGAAACAUUUUAGAAGAGAAGGUGCUGUUAUUGAUGUCGAAAUCUUUAGGUUGAAGAAACUGAUAACUGCUGUAAGGUGAAUCGGGAAAACCCUGAUGAUGACCCAUAGAAUGUCUGGUGUGUUUUAUGUUGGAAAAGUUUUUACCCUUUAUUUUAUUUACAUUUUAUAAUGAAUGGGAUUCACAUUGUGACAAGAGAGUAUGUGAUAGAGUGAAAUAUAUAAAUCUGUAUAAUUAUAUAUAAAACAUAUGUGAAACAUAAAACUGGGAGAAUGUUUUAAAUGAAGGUCUUAGUGACGUUAAUAGUGUUGAGUUCAGGUUCAGUAUAUCAGUGUGUUCAGUCUCUGUGAGUGUGGUUACUGCUUCAGGUUCUUAUGAUACAGUGUCAGUGUUUAACCAGCAGAGUUCAGCAUCAUGCAGUGUUUACAACACUCAGACCUGACGAAUUGUUUAGGAGUCCAUUCCUCCAUCACUGAGCAAAUCUAAAUACAUUUUAUUACACAGAAAAAAAGCAACUCAGACACUAAAUACAUCAGCUAAAAAAAUAAAUACUAAAAGUUUAAAGCAUGUCACACAUUAGGUUCAAAUCCUACAAGAAUAUAAUAAUAAUAAUAAUCAGUAAAAAUAAAGAUUUCCCAGUUCAGAAGAAAAAAAUCACAAUUUUUGGACAUUAUUUUCUUUAUACAGUUUGAGGAAAAUAUGUAGUAAUGUGUUAUGUGGUAAUUUAAUUUCUAAAAUGAAUUUAUAAUAAUGUAUAUUAUAGUAGAAAGUUGUAGUAUGCUGUAAGUUGUAAAGUUUUAUAUUGUGUUAUGAUGUUAUAAAGUUGUAAAGGUUUGUAAGAUUUGUAGUAAGCUGAAAAAUGUCAUGGUUUAAAGUUUAAAAAGUAAUAAUAAAGACAAUGAUAAGCAGAAACAGCUGAACAGAGAGAUUAUAGACUGUAGUGUGUGUGUUAUGAGCGGUGUGUAUAAUGCAUUGUGCUAUCAGUACAACAUGAAUAAAAGUAGUAAUAAUGCUCUACAUUCUCAUAAAAAAAUAAAGCGUAUGAUUCCUUAUGAAUGCGUUAUAACAUGAAUGUCUUAAUAAUUCAUUAUAAAAAACAGCCCCAGAGAAAAAUCACCACAAAAACAAAGACACAAAAACACUUUACUGUUAACUUCAUGUUUAUUUAAGGUCAUAAACAGUGUUUAACUGACUGAAAAAUAAAGUCAGCACUGUUAGUGUAUAGCUCUUAGUGUUUAGUACAACUUUCUGAUUUUUGCUGGUUGAGAGAUGUGUGUGCUUGUUUACAGGAUGUUUUUGCUUCACUCGAUGUAUUGAUUAGAACCAGAGAGAACAUUACACCAACACACUAGCGCUCUCUGGUGGCUGUGUGGCAGUAACCCCAAUGUUUACUUUGUGUUUCUGUGUCUUGAGUAAUAAAAUACUUCAUCUCGGUUAAAUAAGAAAUAAUAAAGGUGACUGGUCCAAGAAACGUCCUGGAGCCAAUCAUUAGGAUUUCUUGUAUUACUUUAUCAUGACUAAUUAUCAUAAACAUUUUUUUAAAAAGCUGUUAUUAUCCAUAAACUUCAUUCAAAAAUCCAUAAAAUUUGCAAAACUAAUUGUAAAGCAGCUAAAAUGUUCAUUAGUUUCUAUUCAAAGAGCUUUAGUAAAAGACCAAAUCUACUACAUUGGGGAGGGGCAGCAGUGGGGGCACAAACUUUUGAGCAAUGUGCCAACCCUACAGUACAG